rnacentral:rRNA from 1 species
UACAGAGGGGGCAAGCGUUGUUCGGAAUUACUGGGCGUAAAGGGCGCGUAGGCUGCCUGUUAAGUCGAACGUGAAAUCCCCGGGCUCAACCCGGGAACUGCGUCCGAUACUGGCAGGCUUGAAUUCGGGAGAGGGAUGCGGAAUUCCAGGUGUAGCGGUGAAAUGCGUAGAUAUCUGGAGGAACACCGGUGGCGAAGGCGGCAUCCUGGACCGACACUGACACUGAGGAGCGAAAGCCAGGGGAGCGAACGGG